UACAGAGGUCCCAAGCGUUGUUCGGAUUUACUGGGCGUAAAGGGUGCGUAGGUGGUGGGGUAAGUCUGAUGUGAAAUCUCCGGGCUCAACUCGGAAAUGGCAUUGGAAACUACCUUGCUAGAGGGUUGGAGGGGGGACGUGGAAUGCUCGGUGUAGCAGUGAAAUGCGUAGAUAUCGAGCGGAACACCAGUGGCGAAGGCGAGUCCCUGGACAACUCCUGACACUGAGGCACGAAAGCUAGGGGAGCAAACAGG
rnacentral:rRNA from 1 species